rnacentral:tRNA from 1 species
GGAGAAAUGGCUCAGUGGUAAGAGCACUGUUCUUACAGAGAACCCUGGGUUCAAUUCCCAGCAUCUACA